CCUGGAUAUCAAUGAUUAUUUUAAUAUUUCUGUGUUUUCUAAAUCAUGAUUCUUGAUUAAUAUUUUUUUUGGGUUUAUCAAGACUUUAUCAGAAUUUCUUUCUGUAAACUUCUCAAAGCUUUUUUUUUUUUCUCUCAAAAGGUAGCCCUCCCUAUUGACCUGCCUUGGUAUUCAAGUGGAAUCUGUAAACUGGUGUUCGUGUUUCUUUUGUCUAAUUUUGUGUUUGACAAAUUUCUGGAAGAUUAAAGUUGUCUACUGGAAUCUGAAAUUUCCCCUAAAUUGCUGAAUAUGGGCAAUUUGUUCUGCUGUGUUCAAGUUGAUCAAUCCACUGUUGCGAUUAAGGAGCGUUUUGGUAAGUAUCAGGAUGUGCUUGAGCCAGGUUGCCACUGUGUACCUUGGUUCCUUGGAAGCCAGUUGGCUGGUCAUCUCUCACUCAGGUUGCAGCAACUGGAUGUCCGCUGUGAAACCAAGACUAAGGAUAAUGUAUUUGUCAACGUUGUCGCAUCAAUUCAGUACCGUGCCCUGGCAGACAAAGCAAAUGAAGCUUUCUACAAGCUAAGUAACACUAAGGGUCAAAUUCAGGCAUAUGUUUUUGAUGUGAUAAGAGCGAGUGUUCCGAAACUCAAUCUUGAUGAUGUCUUCGAGCAAAAAAAUGAAAUUGCUAGGUCUGUUGAGGAGGAACUUGAGAAAGCUAUGUCAGCUUAUGGAUAUGAAAUUGUUCAGACACUUAUAGUUGAUAUCGUACCAGAUGAGCAUGUGAAGAGAGCUAUGAAUGAGAUCAAUGCUGCUGCUCGGCUGAGGGUGGCUGCUAAUGAGAAGGCAGAGGCCGAGAAGAUUUUGCAAAUUAAGAGGGCUGAAGGGGAGGCCGAAUCUAAGUAUCUCUCAGGCUUAGGUAUUGCACGACAACGUCAAGCAAUUGUGGAUGGUCUGAGAGAUAGUGUGCUAGGAUUUUCAGUCAACGUGCCUGGAACUACAGCAAAGGAUGUUAUGGACAUGGUCCUUGUAACCCAAUACUUCGACACCAUGAAAGAAAUUGGGGCUUCCAGCAAAUCAUCUGCUGUCUUCAUCCCCCACGGGCCUGGUGCUGUAAAAGAUGUGGCACAGCAGAUUCGUGAUGGACUUCUUCAGGCUUCUGUUGGGCAAUAAAUAUUUAUUGCUCAUGAAUGUUAAUGGAAGCUUUGUCAAUUUUUAGACUUUUCUUUCUUUACAUGGAAAUAUGUGGUCUUAAGGUAUACAGGGUAAUAUGUUUGAUAAAUGUGAAAGGAGACGAGUUUCCCCUCAAUCGUCAGGUAAUCUAGUAUUUCCAGAAGAAGCAUCAAUAUCCCACCAGUCUCUAUACCGUGAAUGUUUAUGUUUGUUGCUCAUCCUUCAAAUUCAGUACCAUCAGAACCUCCAUCACCCGUGUGUCUUUUAUCUAUGGUAAAUAAUUUUGUUGUUGAAUGCUGUUUCAAAGCUUGGAUUAGUGUUGUUGAGCUUCUCUCAGAAAAGAGUUCAGAGAUCCGUCACCCAUUACAUUUCUAUAAUGUUGUUCAUUUUAACAAAAUAAGAUCUCUUUUUUCUUC